rnacentral:tRNA from 3 species
GCCAGAGUGAUGAAAUUGGUAGACAUGACGGAUUCAAAAUCCGUUGCCUUCACGGGCGUGGCGGUUCAAGUCCGCCCUCUGGUACCA